AAAGAUUACAGUAAGCAAUCUGUUUGCAUGUUUUCUUUUUGCUAAAUCUAGAAUUCAAAGCAAGCAAAGACAUCAGCCUGACUCAUAAUUCUUUUGAAGCCAGUUUUUUGCUAUCCAGUGAACAUCAUAGCAGAUUUUUACUAGCUG
rnacentral:lncRNA from 12 species